CCAAACCUAAACUAAACUAACUUUAUUUAUACUGGAUUACUCUUGUUCUAAUCUAAACUUUUCUUCCUAUAGAUGUCUGAAAGAAAUUAUAGUUGUUUGAUCCAGUGAUAAUAUGGAAGGAAAAGUUACAAUCACCUGAGGCUGAACACGCGUCAGAUGCCGACACGAGGUCAUUUCAGUUCAAGGAAAAAAAAUCACGUUUCAGCUUUGCAAAUUGCAACCGAAAAUAAUACCUUAGCACACCACAGGAGACGAUAAAGAACGAAGAUGCACAUAUCAGGGAGAUGAAUAAAGUCAAGGAUUCGUAAGUUUGUUACAACGCUGAGCUUUCAUCGAGUUUUCGAUUAUUCUGGGCAAUAUAAAUCAGUUUGCAAUCAGUUUACACAGAUGUCAACACAUUUGUGAGUGUGCCAUUUUCAUUUGAAAGAGUGGAAGGGAAAGAUCUUGAAACGGAAGCGGGUUUGUCCUUCAUAGUCUCCGGCGAUUGGGUACACAGAAGAAUAGUAUGCCUGUUUGCGGGUUAGCCUUCCAUCAUGCAACGCGAGCAUCCUCGUUCCCAGGUUUUCUGCGUACUGCGCAAAGUCAGUCCAACGAGCGACUGGGACUGAGACGAAUUGUAGAAGAUUUGUAGAAGAUUGAGGCUACGUUCACACGGGACGGGACGAAUUUGGGACCGUGCUCGAAUUUGCCCGGUUUUUUCGUUUGAACACGUAGAACUGGUCAAAUUUUCAUCCAUUUUUACCGUUUAAAGCCUGAACCAGACGAGAACCAAAGCACUGUACCAAAUUUGUCCGUUUGAGAACUUGAGAACCUAAGAACUUACCGUAGUUCGGAAUCAAACAUUGCAAUUUUAUAACUUUUAGUUUGCUCUUUCCAGCUGUGGUGGUUUAAUUAUUUAUUUAUCCUUGCCUAAAAGAAAAAAGUUUAUAAAAUCGAUAACAUUUUUAUCCCAACACUCCUGUGGUCAACUGCGAUCAGCCGUUUGAUACUUAUACCAAUUUAAGGUCGACAGAGAGUCAGAGCCCGAAUAAAUAUCAAUUGAUUGGCUUGCGAAAAUGAUACUUUUUCCACGUAAAAAUAUAUAACGUAUUUUUACGUGUGUUUAGUUAAAUACGAUUUUUCUUGGUGGCGUAAAAGUCUAUAUAAAAAUUGCGCCCUGUGAUUAGUCGUAUACCAU